AGUGAACGCUGGCGGUAGGCCUAACACAUGCAAGUCGAACGGCCGCACAGUAAGAUCUUGCUCUUACGGGUGGCGAGUGGCGGACGGGUGAGGAAUACAUCGGAAUCUUCUUUUUCGUGGGGGAUAACGUAGGGCAACUUACGCUAAUACCGCAUAUGACCUACGGGUGAAAUCAGUGGUGCUUGGCACUUUUGCUGUUACAUUUAGCCGAUGCCGGAUUAGCUAGUUGGCUGGGUAAGGGCCCACCAAGGCAACGAUCCGUAGCUGGUCUGAGAGGAUGAUCAGCCACACUGGAACUGAGACACGGUCCAGACUCCUACGGGAGGCAGCAGUGGGGAAUAUUGGGCAAUGGGCGCAAGCCUGAUGCAGCCAUGCCGCGUGAGUGAAGAAGGCCUUCGGGUUGUAAAGCCCUUUUGUUGGGAAAGAAAAGAAGCAUGAUAAUACCCCGCUGUUCUGACGGUACCCAAAGAAUAAGCACCGGCUAACUACGUG
rnacentral:rRNA from 1 species